CUCCUGGCUGUGCUCCACAGCUUUAUCAGCAGAGCCGUUGAUAGCCUCCACCUCCUGUUGGAGCAGCUUCACAUCUUCUUCUCUGUCCUGGAUUCUCUGCUGGAUGUUUUCUCGACUCUCCUCCAGAUCUUUCUGCCUCUCAGUCCUUUCUGCUGCAGCUGAGACUGUGUCGUGACCUUUGUGUUGGUCCAAACAGCAGAGAGAACAGAUGGACUUCUGAUCAGUGCGGCAGAAGAUCUUCAUCACCUCAUCAUGACGAGAGCAGAUGUUCUCCUGGAGCUUCUUGGAGGGCUCCACCAGCUUGUGUUUCUUAAAUGUAGGAGAUUCAAAAUGAGGCUGGAGGUGAAUCUGACAGUAAGAAACCAGACAUUGAAGACAGGACUUGACAGCUUUCAGUUUUCUCCCACUGCAGAAAUCACAGACCACAUCUUCAGGUCCAGCCUCAGAGGAACCAUCAGGAGCAGCUUGGAGUCCGCUCUUCUUCACUUCCUCCACUAAACCUGCUAACAUGGUGUUUUUCUUCAGGACAGGCCUCGGUAUGAAAGUCUCUCUGCAUCGAGGACAGCUGUAGAUCCUCUUCUCAUCCUCAGUAUCCCAGUAGGAUUGAAUACAGCUCAUGCAGAAGCUGUGUCCACAGGAAACAGUCACCGGAUCCUUCAGAAGAUCCAAACAGAUGGAACAAGAGAAAGACUCACGGUCCAGAUGAACUCCUUUCUGCGCCAUUUCAACACUCGCUGUCGACGACGACUGACAUGAGUUUUAUUUCCUGAGAAGUGAAACUAGUCUGAGCUCUGAUCUCAACAACAUGUGUGAGUCAGCAGGAUAUCAGCUCAGCACACGGCGGUUACACCCAACCUUUAGGCUGUAGAUAUGAGAGAUAACAAUCAGAAGUUAUUAAAGGGGACCUGCCACCAAAAUUUCAUCCCCAUUUUUAUCAUUUUUUCAUAAUCCUUGAUGUCCUCUGAUCAUGUUUGCAACAUAAUUUUAGCUGAAAAGUUAUUUGAUGGUUUGUUUUAGUAUGCCUAAAAAACCUUACAGGAAAACCAACUGGUUUUGGCUCAUUAACAUUUAUGGUAAUGAGCGUUCAGGACUGCUAACUUGUGCUUCCUACUAUUCGGCUACUGUAAUAACCGUUGUUCGAGCCCACACGCAACAUUUUUGCUCUCAUUAAUGAAACGCUUAAAUCGGGGACAUUUUCAGGGACAGCUUUUGCCGGGGACAGGUCAUCCAAUACGGGGACUGUCCCCGGAAAUCGGGGACGUCUGGUCACCUUAUGCUAAAGGCUAAAAACGGCAGGUAUUAAACCAUAUAUUUUAGACCCCGAGUCUGAAGAGGAGGUGGAAGUUGAGGAAGAAGCCGGAGAUCUCCAGCGGUGUUUUCUCAUUCAUUCUGCCCGGCUUUAAGUUCAUUUUCCCGGCAGUGAACCGAAGGAAACACCGGUCGUUUGGAAGAGACCCAUAGCGGAUACAGCGGUAGCUGGGUCUCGCUCUGACUGUGACAGAGUACGAGAACGAGAGAGUGGGCGCGGCUCACCGAGGACGCGCUCGUGAAUAAUAAUGAGCAAGGUUGGCGCUCACUCUCUCACUCUUUCUCUCUCUCUCUGGUUUGUUCUCGUAGUUUUUUCUCUCUCUUCUCAUCUUCCUUUCUCUAAUCUGUUGCUGUGUCCGAAUUGCCAAGUAGUAGUCGAAGUAGUAUCUAGCAUGUCCGAAUUGGCCACCGGAGCGAGUAGCAUGCUACUUCAGAUACUACUUCAGAUACUACUUCUAGACACGCCCACAUUGUAGGAUGGUCGCGGUGCAUCCUACGGGCAUGCUACUGACCCAAAAUGCACCACGGGCUUCUUCUUCUUCGUCCUCUUAAAAGUUGUAGAAGCGCAUGUGAUGCUAGCGCCACCAGCUGCUGCCUAUUUAGAUGAGUCGCAAACGCCGGCUGGCCACAGCAGCGCGCACCAUGGCGGACCAGCAGCAGCAGGCGGGACCGCAGCAGUACAGAUGUAAGUUUCAUGUAACUUCACACACGGUCCUAAAAAAUGUGCGGUUGUAUCUCUUUGUCAUGUCAUGGUGACUAUUGACUGAUAUUUCAAGAUUUUUUGUAUUAAAACCACAAAAAUAAAAAGAUGCUUCUUUAACGGAUUCCUGCCGACCUCACCUGUAACGCCUGAAGAUUUAAGUCCAGUUUUAGUCACUGAAAAGUGAAAAUAUUUAAGAGGUUUUAGAUUGUUGUUAAACCAUUUCAGCUGAAUUUUAGUGAAUAAAAAGUUAAAAUAUUUUGACCCGGAUUUCGUCUAUGAAAGUCAAAGUUUUAGCUCUAAAUUUAGUUAAAGAAAAAGUUAAAUUAUCUUAAACUGGUUUAAAUCGACAGAAGCUGAAAUUCUUAAGUCCAGUUUAAGUCAAUUAAAGUCCAACAAUUUAAACAUUUUACUUUUGCUUCCUGCUGCAUCUUCUUUUAGUAUUUUCUAGAUUUUGUAUGAUCAUUUCUACGAAUUCAUUCUUGAACAUGUUUUCAAACAGGAUGAAACACGGUCUUGAAGCUGGUUUCAUCUCUUUUUCAAAGAUUCAUUCAGAAAAAUUAAAGAAUAAAAACACAGAAUUAUGGAGAGGAAGAAGACGGACACCUGCAGGUGUUUUUGUCUCGUCAUCGUUUGGUUAAUUUCGAUUUUACUCAUUUAGUUCCCACGAAAAACUUGCUCCAUUGGGCAAGAGUCUAAUCUAUACGGAGGGGAGGAGCUUCCUUCACGCCGUUUUAGUAUUUUAUGGAACAUCGUUGAAUUUGACGACAUCGUGAGAGUUCGUCAAAUUCAGACUCACUUUGUAUUUCUGUUGCCAUGGAAACAAAUGUUGUCUAAUAGCUCAGGGCAGCUGCACACGUUACCAUCAGUUGGUCCAGAUGAUUGGACCUCCACCGGUCUGCUGCUGACAUCGAUGUCAACGUCCAAUUUAGACCCAGAGGAACACAAACAGAACUUUUUACAGUUACUGUUGAAGUCGAGUGAAUGUGGGGCAGCUUCACUCGUGUGUGUGUGUGUGUGUGUGUGUGUGUGUGUGUGUGUGUGUGUGUGUGUGUGUGUGUGUGUGUGCAGGUGUGCAUGUGUUUAUGUGUGUGUGAAUCAUGGUAUAGGUUCAGAUGAGGAGACUCGAGCAGCUCACGAUUCGUCCUCAGAUGGUCUUUGUGUGUGUGUGUGUGUGUGUGUGUUUAGUCUGAUCAAAAGGAGAUGCUUUGAUGUUCAAAGUAAACCACCGCACACACACACACACACACACACACACACACACACAGCCUGCAUGUGUGUUCUCUGUAUUCCAGAUAUUUGUUUGUGUGUUUGAAAUAAUUGGCUCCCAAAAGGAAUAAAAAGGGAAAUAAAUGACAGUGUGUGUGUGUGUGUGUGUGUGUGUGUGUGUGCGAGUGCGAGUGCGUGUGUGUGUGUGUGGACUGUAUAUUCAUUUUGAUAUGAAUGUGUGUGUGCAUAAAGAUCUGUAUGCUAAAUGUGUCUUCAAGAGAGGGAGGGAGAGGCUGACAGUGUUUUGGUGUGUGUGUGUGUGUGUGUGUGUGUGUGUGUGUGUGUGUCUCAGAUAGUUCUCCAGCUCCUUAAUUACUGUUAAAGGCUGCAGAUGAAACCGUGUGUCUGUAUUUGAUCUGAACCCGGUCUGAUUCUGCUCUCAGGUCCGGUUCUGAAUCGGGGGAUUUGUGGUGUCAGAGGAGGGUCACCUGCACAGGUAGGAGGAGGAGCUUUAAUGAGGGACUCUGUCAGAUCCUGGAUAAGAAAGCGCUUUGACCAACGGGACCCUUUUAAAGAUCAGAUCCAUUUCUGUCUCCAUGACAACGGACUGUUUGAUGAGCUGAAGACGUUUUUAUGUUUGAGGAUCUUUUUUUGGGCUUCAGUAAAAAUAACUUAGUGAACCAAAAACAGUUUUCUGUUCUAAUCUGAGGGGAGAGUCCUCAGCCUGCAUUCUCUGUGACCUCCAGCAGAGGGCGACUCCAGGAAAACGGACUGACUUCUUAGUUCAUUUAUUCUCUCAGUAAAUAUUUUUUAAAUGAAUUUAUGGUCUGACGUUCAUGUAGUCCAUUAAAGGGAUAUUCUGGCGUAGAAUUAAUUUAGGGUCCAACACUGAGUUAGACCCCGCCUCCAGAGAUGAAUGUUGCCGACUGCUUGCUUCUCUAGUUGCUCAUCUAAUGGCGUCUCUUAUAGUACUAGACACCAAACAUCUUUUUAACUUUGACUCAUUUCUUUAGCAAAGAGACUAAACACAACUCACCUACUCUCUUCCAGCAGACGCUUGUUUGUAGCGAGACCUCAGGCCAGUCCAUUACGGACUACAGCGGGGUGCCGCAGCUCAAGGAAGAACAUUUAAGAUCAUUUCUUUAUCAUGUCAGAAUGUGGUUUGGGAUCAUAUGAAGGUCUUUGCCUGGAUGGACGCAGAUGUUCGUCCUAAACCUGGAGAUAUUGUUUAAAACUAAGGACACAGCGUCUAUGAUUUCCAGUUCUGUGUUGAAAGGACAACUGGACUUACUUGAAACGU